CCUACGGGAGGCAGCAGUGAGGAAUAUUGGUCAAUGGGCGUAAGCCUGAACCAGCCAAGUCGCGUGAGGGAUGAAGGUUCUAUGGAUCGUAAACCUCUUUUUUAAGGGAAUAAAGUGUGGGACGUGUCCUAUUUUGUAUGUACCUUAUGAAUACGGAUCGGCUAACUCCGUGCCAGCCGCCGCGGUACUACGGAGGAUCCGAGCGUUAUCCGGAUUUAUUGGGUUUAAGGGGUGCGUAGGCGGCCUUUUAAGUCAGCGGUGAAAGUCUGUGGCUCAACCAUAGAAUUGCCGUUGAAACUGGGGGGCUUGAGUAUGGUAGAGGCAAGCGGAAUGCGUGGUGUAGCGGUGAAAUGCGUAGAUAUCACGCAGAACCCCAAUUGCGAAGGCAGCCUGCCAAGCCAUGACUGACGCUGAUGCACGAAAGCGUGGGGAUCAAACAGGAUUAGAUACCCCAGUAGUC
rnacentral:rRNA from 1 species